UACGUAGGGGGCAAGCGUUGUCCGGAAUUACUGGGCGUAAAGGGCACGCAGGCGGGCCGUCGCGUCCGGUGUGAAAGGUCACGGCUUAACCGUGACAUGGCAUCGGAAACGGGCGGUCUUGAGGGCAGGAGAGGAGCGCGGAAUUCCCGGUGUAGCGGUGGAAUGCGUAGAGAUCGGGAGGAACACCAGUGGCGAAGGCGGCGUUCUGGCCUGGCCCUGACGCUGAGGUGCGAAAGCGUGGGUAGCAAACAGG
rnacentral:misc_RNA from 1 species